AACGAACGCUGGCGGCAGGCCUAACACAUGCAAGUCGAACGCACCGCAAGGUGAGUGGCGCACGGGUGAGUAACACGUGGGAAUGUAUCCUUUGGUUCGGAAUAACGUCUGGAAACGGACGCUAAUACCGGAUGAGCCCUAUGGGGGAAAGAUUUAUCGCCGAAGGAGCAGCCCGCGUCUGAUUAGGUAGUGGGUGGGGUAAAGGCCUACCAAGCCGACGAUCAGUAGCUGGUCUGAGAGGAUGAUCAGCCACACUGGGACUGAGACACGGCCCAGACUCCUACGGGAGGCAGCAGUGGGGAAUAUUGGACAAUGGGCGCAAGCCUGAUCCAGCCAUGCCGCGUGAGUGAUGAAGGCCUUCGGGUUGUAAAGCUCUUUCGCACACGACGAUGAUGACGGUAGUGUGAGAAGAAGCCCCGGCUAACUUCGUGCCAGCAGCCGCGGUAAGAC
rnacentral:rRNA from 1 species